rnacentral:rRNA from 1 species
UACAGAGGGGGCAAGCGUUGUUCGGAAUUACUGGGCGUAAAGGGCGCGUAGGCGGCCCGCUAAGUCGAACGUGAAAUCCCCGGGCUCAACCCGGGAACUGCGUCCGAUACUGGCAGGCUUGAAUCCGGGAGAGGGAUGCGGAAUUCCAGGUGUAGCGGUGAAAUGCGUAGAUAUCUGGAGGAAUACCGAUGGCGAAGGCAGCCCCCUGGGUCAAUACUGACGCUCAUGCACGAAAGCGUGGGGAGCAAACAGG